CAGCAGCCACGGUAAUACGUAGGUCCCGAGCGUUGUCCGGAUUUAUUGGGCGUAAAGCGAGCGCAGGCGGUUAGAUAAGUCUGAAGUUAAAGGCUGUGGCUUAACCAUAGUACGCUUUGGAAACUGUUUAACUUGAGUGCAAGAGGGGAGAGUGGAAUUCCAUGUGUAGCGGUGAAAUGCGUAGAUAUAUGGAGGAACACCGGUGGCGAAAGCGGCUCUCUGGCUUGUAACUGACGCUGAGGCUCGAAAGCGUGGGGAGCGAACAGGAUUAGAUACCCCGGUAGUCCCUGUCUCUUAUACA
rnacentral:rRNA from 1 species